rnacentral:misc_RNA from 1 species
AGUGUCAGUGUUUAUCGCCCCCAAACUGGGUAAGUGGUGUUUUUGUAUGGCGGGCAAUUUAUGUAGUUAAUGCAAGUAAUCAUGCCUAAUGUAAAAUAUAACAUUUGUAUUCAGUAGCAUAAAUCUCAUUUGAAUUAUUUUCUUGCAUUUCAUCAUCUUUCAAGUCUACCCUCAUUUUUAAUAUUUUUUAUUAUAAUUGUAUAAUUCAUUAUCAGUUAACCUUCUUUUUAAAAAUAAUUAUCUCCGCUUCUGGCUUUAUGAUUCCACGGCACUACUGCUACAAUUUAGGUGCUUUCUUUUAUAACGCAGUGCCGUGGAUGUUUGCAAAUAGUACUGGAACGCUUAUUUUUAUAUUUUGAUGGCGCGUUCCAGGGUACGACGUUUGGUUCACCAUUUUCGACGUUUGGGUCACCAAUUACGACGUUUGGGUCACCAAUUUCGACGUUUCCACCUAACCCCAACGACGAGAGUUCACUCCGCCGGGUCUUGAACUACCCGUUCCUGCCGCCCCCGGUCGAUAGCGGGAUCCUGUCACGCGGCUCCCGGGAAUAUCACCUGCACGGCGAACCAGGAGAGUACCUGAGCCGAACUGCACUUGGAGCUUGUGUGAAUUGAGUGCUCGACCCCGCCCAUAUACGUACAUUUUUUUUUU